GGGUUGUCGCUUCGAAACGACGCGGGGGAGAGGCGUUAGCGGAUGGAAGCAACAGUAUUUUGAUACCGCCGUGGGUAGAUGCGUGGGGCUCGUAUGUGACAUCGCACGUAGUGAAUGUGCAGGCUAGUGGUGCCCUGGAGAGACCACAGCGACACCACUACUUUGGAUGGCGAGCUAGGCCCAACGAGCCAGAACCCCAGCUACAACUUCCUGCGGUCUGGUAGGAGGCUGCUGCGGCCUACACUCUCCCCUCUUGGUUUAGUCCCCUAAAUCUCACUUCUGAGAUUUCAGCUUUGGAAUCUUAGUGCUGAUCAUCCUACUUCAAAUUUCAACCUGUCUAGACUGUCAUACGCGUUGGACUUAUAUCACUCAUGAAAUAAACUUUAUGGACAUUGUUGCCAGAGGUUGGACGAGGUUCCUGCACUGCCGUGCAGCGGAUAUUUUACAAGCUUGAAUUGUUUUAUUUUUUCCUUGUCUGCAGAUUUUGUAAAUAUUGGUGUUUGGUAGUUGCACUUUGUUUUCACUAUAAAUAACAUUUGUAAUCACAAUAUCUGUGGUUGUACGUUUAUUGUACUUCACUCACCUCCUAGAGCCGAAUCUGAUAUCUUCUGAAUUAGCCCAACUAUUCAUAACCAACUUAAAUUAUUUUAGCUUAUGUACUUGCUACAUAAGACAAAUUAGUGGCGAACCAGCCAGGAGGUUGUGUCAAGUAUAAUAUUGUUGUGUACAUUCAG